rnacentral:rRNA from 1 species
AUUGAACGCUGGCGGCAGGCUUAACACAUGCAAGUCGAACGAUGAUUAUCUAGCUUGCUAGAUAUGAUUAGUGGCGGACGGGUGAGUAACAUUUAGGAAUCUGCCUAGUAGUGGGGGAUAGCUCGGGGAAACUCGAAUUAAUACCGCAUACGACCUACGGGUGAAAGGGGGCGCAAGCUCUUGCUAUUAGAUGAGCCUAAAUCAGAUUAGCUAGUUGGUGGGGUAAAGGCCCACCAAGGCGACGAUCUGUAACUGGUCUGAGAGGAUGAUCAGUCACACCGGAACUGAGACACGGUCCGGACUCCUACGGGAGGCAGCAGUGGGGAAUAUUGGACAAUGGGGGCAACCCUGAUCCAGCCAUGCCGCGUGUGUGAAGAAGGCCUUUUGGUUGUAAAGCACUUUAAGCAGGGAGGAGAGGCUAAUGGUUAAUACCCAUUAGAUUAGACGUUACCUGCAGAAUAAGCACCGGCUAACUCUGUGCCAGCAGCCGCGGUAAUACAGAGGGUGCGAGCGUUAAUCGGAAUUACUGGGCGUAAAGCGAGUGUAGGUGGCUCAUUAAGUCACAUGUGAAAUCCCCGGGCUUAACCUGGGAACUGCAUGUGAUACUGGUGGUGCUAGAAUAUGUGAGAGGGAAGUAGAAUUCCAGGUGUAGCGGUGAAAUGCGUAGAGAUCUGGAGGAAUACCGAUGGCGAAGGCAGCUUCCUGGCAUAAUAUUGACACUGAGAUUCGAAAGCGUGGGUAGCAAACAGGAUUAGAUACCCUGGUAGUCCACGCCGUAAACGAUGUCUACUAGCCGUUGGGGUCCUUGAGACUUUAGUGGCGCAGUUAACGCGAUAAGUAGACCGCCUGGGGAGUACGGCCGCAAGGUUAAAACUCAAAUGAAUUGACGGGGGCCCGCACAAGCGGUGGAGCAUGUGGUUUAAUUCGAUGCAACGCGAAGAACCUUACCUGGUCUUGACAUAGUGAGAAUCCUGCAGAGAUGCGGGAGUGCCUUCGGGAAUUCACAUACAGGUGCUGCAUGGCUGUCGUCAGCUCGUGUCGUGAGAUGUUGGGUUAAGUCCCGCAACGAGCGCAACCCUUUUCCUUAUUUGCCAGCGGGUUAAGCCGGGAACUUUAAGGAUACUGCCAGUGACAAACUGGAGGAAGGCGGGGACGACGUCAAGUCAUCAUGGCCCUUACGACCAGGGCUACACACGUGCUACAAUGGUAGGUACAGAGGGUUGCUACACAGCGAUGUGAUGCUAAUCUCAAAAAGCCUAUCGUAGUCCGGAUUGGAGUCUGCAACUCGACUCCAUGAAGUCGGAAUCGCUAGUAAUCGCAGAUCAGAAUGCUGCGGUGAAUGCGUUCCCGGGCCU